rnacentral:rRNA from 1 species
UACGGAGGGUGCAAGCGUUAUCCGGAUUCACUGGGUUUAAAGGGUGCGUAGGAGGGCAGGUAAGUCAGUGGUGAAAUCUCCAAGCUUAACUUGGAACUGCCGUUGAUACUAUCUGUCUUGAAUACCGUGGAGGUGAGCGGAAUAUGUCAUGUAGCGGUGAAAUGCUUAGAUAUGAACAUAGAACACCAAUUGCGAAGGCAGCUC